CGCGCUUGAAGCAAAACUGUCUGUUUUGUCGUGGCACUGGUUGGAUUUGGACUGACAGAUGACGCUCUUGAGAUUGAACAUUACAAUCACUUGCUGCAAAGGUAUCACUGGACCCGGCUACAUUGGCUGCACCGCCUUGGGAACUUGUAGACGGUUUAAUGGGCUGCUGCAAAUUUGAAGCUGAGUGGAGCAGUAACCUAUUAGCACUCAGACUUGUGCUGCGUUUCCACGGAUUGGCUGUGAGGUCUUGAGAACUUCUCGGCGCUGGUAAUGGCUGCUGCCGUGAACUUGUAGCUGAGUGUGACAAUGCUCUAUUAGCGCUCAGAAUUGUGCUUCACUCAUGGGAUCCUUUUACUGGGAACUGUCGUUUGGUCAAUCCGUUACACAAGCUAUAUAUAAAUCAGUAUUAAAAAUACAAAUAAAGUGGGUGCUAACUCAUUCGUCUAAUUUCAUUAAACUACCAAACUGCACUCUGGAGAUUUUCAAAUAUUUUCAAGUCCAGCUUCUCUCGUAUGCUUUCGAUUAUACGUUUGUCGAGGAAGUUGUGGGAGCGCCCACAUUCCCCUUCACAGUUUCCUUCGAUUAAACGUUUGCAAACAUGCCACAGUGCACAGUAUUCCUCCGUAGGAUGACAGAAACCUGUAUCAAGGUAUUCAGAACAACGUUUCUGCCUUCGUAAAUUAGUUAGAACUCCAGUUGUUUUCCCAUCCCGGUCUUUGAAGAGAGGGCGCUGGGAUUUCCGGUUUUGCAGUUUUGGCCAUUUUUGAGAUGACCAAGGCCAUUUUUCGGUUUUUGUGGCAAAAUAUUUCGGUUUUUUCGGUUUUCUCGUUCAUAGCGGUUUGUGGAUUUUCCGUUUCCAACCAACUCUUCACCUCAAACUUUGUCUGUGUGCUUGGCAAGGCAUAAUAAUCACAAUCAUAACAUAUUUAACCAGGGUAAACCCGUCAGCAAAUGCUGUUGUCCUGGGCAACUAAAUAUCGCAAAUCGGUAGUUGAACAGUCUAACUUUGUCAUCAUUCAGCGCCAUUUUGAAGCGGAAGUACAGCAGUACAGCCUAAACAUAAAUCGAGGUUCUUCUCAAACUUGUUGCCUGUUCAAGUCAGACAGUGGGCCAGUUAGUCAUUACCUUACAGCUGGUUGUACAGAAUGUAACGGCCGGGAAUAACAAACUGUUAUUUAAUCUCUGCGUAUCCACAAUUAUCAGCUAAUUCAGUAUUCCUGCCGUCAGCGGGCGCGUUCCAGAAAUUUCCAGAAAUCAUUUUACGGUUGAUAUCUCCUGGCCGAGUCAAGCGUGUGUGACGUGACGAAAAUCGUUCCGGUAGGAUGUAAUGGCCGUUGGGAGAGUUGACCGUUAGUGGAGCGAGGUUCGACUGUAAACAACGCGUAAACGCUUCUGGGAAAAUUCUGUUCCAUGCCAGCUUUUGUAUUUUCUGGAACCUUUCCCAAAAAUUCCCAUUCUAUUUCUUCCCGUUCCUGAAUUUUUUGUGAUGAACGACACCUUUCUUCCCACUGGAAUUUCUUUCGUAGACGGAAAACCUUCUGAGGUAUCCAGCUCUUUUCUCGCGUUUUUAUCGGGAUGAUCGGAAACCUGUCAUAAAUAAUCGUUACAAAUUCUGUAGCUAUGUGGCAGCCAUAUCUGCAAUUGCCAGGUUCUGGCAAGUACAAUCUCCUCUAUCAAAUCCUGCACUCCACUCAUUCCACUUUGUUUGUGAGAACAACGUAUUGUCUCGUUUGGGGGAAAAAUUAUCGCCAGUUUUUCCACAAAAAUUGGUUUCCGUGCGUCUUAGCUUGUCUUCUUCAUAUGCCGUACGUAUUUUCGAGUGUUAGUUUGGACUAGGAUAAUGAAGUUGCUAGCAGUUUUCAGACUUAUGGUAAAGAACCAUUCAAGACCAAUUUUAAAUUCAUAUUUGUUUCCAAAAGAGCCGUCGCCAAAGGUACUUAUUUAGAAUUUCGCAGAACAUGGCCAAGAAUACAUAGCCAUGACAGGCUUAUAAGAGCAUCUUUUUAUUAACCAAAACUGUUCCAAAUGAUAAAAUUGUAUUUGUGAAUUCUUCUGUUUCAUGUGCAGCUAUGUAAAAGAAAAAACAACUUUAAAUACAAAUCUUAUACCAUGAAUACUAUACAACAUAGAUAUCAUUAAACAUUGAUUACGAUUGUUAGAAGAUCUUUUAAAACAGCGUUAGUACUAACUGGCACGUUUAGAUCAGACUGGUCAUGGCUUAUCCAUACUUUAAGUUGAAUUUUACCUAGGUUGAAAACACCCCUAAAGGCGCGCUUCAAGCUAGCGGUGUCGCGUCUCCUAACGGCUCGGGUGAACCGAGAGAGCCUGGUUAAGCUGACCCGCCCGCGCAAGGAAUCGUCACAAGAGAAAAACAAACAUUUUCGGAGGAAUCUUCGCAAUGGAAAAAACAAAAAUUUUCACAAUGUACCAUACAAAUGGCCCGAGACGAGGUCAGGGCAAGAGUACAAACACAAGAGAACAGAAAGACUUCUUGCUUUGGACAAGUAGUAUGUUGGAAGCCGUACUGCUUUUCAAGAGGCGUUGGAAAAAUUCACAGCUAAAAACAGUCUCAGGUGCGUUCUUGGUAAAUAAACUGCAACAGUAACUCAUUCGAAUUCCCGUUCUUUUAGCGUCGUUUAUCAACGACCUUUAUCAGUGUUGAAUGCUGGCAGCGAUCAAAAUCAAUAAUAGUAUUUUACAGUUCAAAAAGUCAAUCCUUCAGACUAUUAACAUACGUAUUCGCUGCGUUCCUUUUCUUUCGUAAAACUAAAUUUUAAAUUUACUGCAUCGAAUUGACCAAGUAACAUUUGCUACAAUCAAGACGGGGUUAACGUUUCGUAGAAGUUCUCUGCACGUUUCUCUAUAACUUCUUAAAGGAUUUCUCGGGGAAAUUUGUUUAAAUAUCAUUCCUUUGCCAUUAUUUCCUUAAUUCUUACUGCCUUGCGAUAUAUGUUGUUUAUGAAUCGAAACUGCGAGGAGAGAUUAAACAGUCGUCAACGGUUCAAUUAUUUUAUCAAAGCACUUAAAAAAAAA